CCUCUGAAAGCUGAACCCCCUCCCUCUUACCUUUCCAAUAAUCAGAUUACCAGCAAGAGCAGUUUGAGGCAUUCAGCAUAACAUCUGGGACAUGCAGAUGUUCUGAAAAAUAGAAACGCAAUAAAUUCCUAUGGGUAGGCGCUCGCUGCAAGUCGUGAUUUACCAACAAGCAGUCCUCAGUCGAACCCACGUCAGUCACUAGAUGGCACACUUAAACAACGCACUGCGCUUCCCUACCUUGCUCUACAGGUGCUGGGCUACGCCGGAGAGCUUUUCCCACGGGAGGCAAGUGAUUCUUUGAUGCGUAAGCCUUCUGCUGUGUACCUUGUAUUUUUAUUGCAGUUUCCUAUCUUCAUUGUUGGUGGUAUCUGGUAACUUGAGGUCCUGAAGUCUUACUGUGUGGCAAGAAGAAAUUAAGCUGGGGCAGAGGAAGAAGAGAACCAGCACUAAUGCUCACACCUGCAACCUUUUCUCCAUGGGCCAUUUUUCCUUGAGCACCUUCUACUAUGCCAAAAGACUGCAAGGUGUAAAAGCAUACAGCAACUAUUUUGUAUCAACUAACGCACAGAGUACACAGGUACAACUAACAGUCUACUCAGCUAGGUAUUACUCAAGUGUUAACUAUUACCCAAGUAAUUUAGUACAGGCUACUCAACUGGGUAUUACAAAUAUUAUCAGGCAAGCAGCUGUUGGUCAGGAGGGGAACUUUUCAUUUCCAUGCCUCUUUGGAGUGGAUCAUGACCCCUUGUCUGGCCAAGCUGCUGUCUGCUGAAUCUCUGCCUUCUUUCUGGGGGUGCUGCAUCUUUCCCUCCUCCCCAGUAUUUUCCAACUAACUGUUACUGCUGACACAAUUUCACUUCUCCCUGCAUACUUACUUUCAUAUGGCUUUAGCUUACACACUUUCUUGCAUCUGGACAACUUUCUAACCAAAACUCAGCCAAGGCAUCACAGCUGUGUCCCCACAAAAGCAAGCCUUGGGUCAUCGCAGGCAGCUGAACAUCUGCGCUGCUGUUUGGUGUUUGAAAGUUAGCUGCACAUUUCCACCACAACAGAGACAUUAUAUUGCUGCCGUGACACCUAGGCUAGUGUUAUACUGACCAUUAACAGUGGGGGAGGGUUGAAUUCUGAUUAGGGCAGGUUAUACUACUAGCUCUUUGGAUAUUUUGGUACUGUCAUGAAGUUCAUGCUAGACAGCUCACUGUAACACCAGCAACAGAGACCUUGCAUUAACCAUUGGUUAUAUCAGUGAAAGUCGCUCUGAUAAAUGCACUGGUUUUGAUUCCUGAAAAAAUCUUCUAGUGAUAGAAACUAUCCCACAGGCUCAGACAGGUUGUCCCAGUGAUUGCUUUAACCCCUUAAGAAGGACCAAGUGCAUCAGGAUGUUUUCAGCAAGACAUGCUGAUUUUGAAAUAGAUUGUGAAAGAUGUGAACAACAGAUUUUGUGGUGGAAUCUUUUACAGAGAACAAAGAGAGUAUUAGAAUCCACCUUGUGAAAGUUCAGACGUACAGGAAGAAGACCAAGCUUUUUGAAUAGCAGAGCAGAAAAGACCCCAGGUAACUGAUAACUAAAAGAAGCACUUACUUAUCAGAAGCCACACAUACGGAGAAUGAAGAAUACGAUCUUGGUGGGGCAGCUGGAAAAAAACUCUUUGAUUUGCUGGUUAAUCAGAAUGUACUGCAGAGAAAUCAAUAUAAGGAUAAUCUCAUUUGCUAUUUAUUUCUGGCUCAUAUUUUCACAGGCUUGGAAAUAUGCUUUUCAUCAGUCAUCUACUCUGGAGAGGAACGGCAGGAAUUUCAACACUUCUGCUAUUUUUGCCUGCAAAAUAUUCAAAAUUGUUUCUGCAGAAGCUAUGGACAGCAGUGGGGGACAUUUAUUUAAAGAAAUUUGGAACAAUGGAUCACUAGUGAUUAAAAUAAAAAUGGAAAUUACAUUCUGGA